rnacentral:rRNA from 1 species
GACGAACGCUGGCGGCGUGCUUAACACAUGCAAGUCGAACGGAAAGGCCCUGCUUUUGUGGGGUGCUCGAGUGGCGUACGGGUGAGUAACACGUGAGUAACCUGCCCUUGACUUUGGGAUAACUUCAGGAAACUGGGGCUAAUACCGGAUAGGAGCUCCUGCUGCAUGGUGGGGGUUGGAAAGUUUCGGCGGUUGGGGAUGGACUCGCGGCUUAUCAGCUUGUUGGUGGGGUAGUGGCUUACCAAGGCUUUGACGGGUAGCCGGCCUGAGAGGGUGACCGGCCACAUUGGGACUGAGAUACGGCCCAGACUCCUACGGGAGGCAGCAGUGGGGAAUAUUGCACAAUGGGCGGAAGCCUGAUGCAGCAACGCCGCGUGCGGGAUGACGGCCUUCGGGUUGUAAACCGCUUUCGCCUGUGACGAAGCGUGAGUGACGGUAAUGGGUAAAGAAGCACCGGCUAACUACGUGCCAGCAGCCGCGGUGAUACGUAGGGUGCGAGCGUUGUCCGGAUUUAUUGGGCGUAAAGGGCUCGUAGGUGGUUGAUCGCGUCGGAAGUGUAAUCUUGGGGCUUAACCCUGAGCGUGCUUUCGAUACGGGUUGACUUGAGGAAGGUAGGGGAGAAUGGAAUUCCUGGUGGAGCGGUGGAAUGCGCAGAUAUCAGGAGGAACACCAGUGGCGAAGGCGGUUCUCUGGGCCUUUCCUGACGCUGAGGAGCGAAAGCGUGGGGAGCGAACAGGCUUAGAUACCCUGGUAGUCCACGCUGUAAACGGUGGGUACUAGGUGUGGGGUCCAUUCCACGGGUUCCGUGCCGUAGCUAACGCUUUAAGUACCCCGCCUGGGGAGUACGGCCGCAAGGCUAAAACUCAAAGGAAUUGACGGGGCCCCGCACAAGCGGCGGAGCAUGCGGAUUAAUUCGAUGCAACGCGUAGAACCUUACCUGGGUUUGACAUGGAUCGGGAGUGCCCAGAGAUGGGUGUGCCUCUUUUGGGGUCGGUUCACAGGUGGUGCAUGGCUGUCGUCAGCUCGUGUCGUGAGAUGUUGGGUUAAGUCCCGCAACGAGCGCAACCCUUGUUCACUGUUGCCAGCACGUUAUGGUGGGGACUCAGUGGAGACCGCCGGGGUCAACUCGGAGGAAGGUGGGGAUGACGUCAAGUCAUCAUGCCCCUUAUGUCCAGGGCUUCACGCAUGCUACAAUGGCUGGUACAGAGAGUGGCGAGCCUGUGAGGGUGAGCGAAUCUCGGAAAGCCGGUCUCAGUUCGGAUUGGGGUCUGCAACUCGACCUCAUGAAGUCGGAGUCGCUAGUAAUCGCAGAUCAGCAACGCUGCGGUGAAUACGUUCCCGGGGCU